rnacentral:rRNA from 1 species
CCCUACGGGGCGCGCAUACAGAGUUAGAAAAAGAUCUAAUCAUAUAACAGUUGUAGUUGCUGAAAAAGAAUAGUAAAUCUUAAUAAUAUUACACAGGAGGAACUUUUUGGGACAAAAAACACAUCCAAUCGGAUUUAGACUUGGAAUAAUAAAGAGUUGGGAUGCUAACUGGUACGAUGAAAAAAACUUUGCCCAAAAACUAGAAGAAGACUUGAUGAUAAGAAAUUACAUCAAGAACCGUUUAAAGAAAGCCGGUAUUGCCAGAGUAGUCAUUGAAAGAACUCCAAAGAGUAUCGUUCUCACACUUUACACAUCCCGUCCGGGUAUUGUAAUCGGAAAGAGCGGUAAAGAAAUUUCUCAAUUGGAAGAAGAAUUAAAGAAAGUUACAAGUAAGGAUGUUAAAAUGCUCAUCAACGAGGUUAAACGUCCUGAAUUAGAUGCUAAUAUGGUUGCCGAGAAUAUCGCGCAGCAAUUGGCGGGGGGGC